GAUGAACGCUGGCGGCGUGCCUAAUACAUGCAAGUAGAACGCUGAAGGAGGAGCUUGCUCUUCUGGAUGAGUUGCGAACGGGUGAGUAACGCGUAGGUAACCUGCCUGGUAGCGGGGGAUAACUAUUGGAAACGAUAGCUAAUACCGCAUGACAACAGUUAUUGCAUGAUAACUGUUUAAAAGGGGCAACUGCUCCACUACCAGAUGGACCUGCGUUGUAUUAGCUAGUUGGUGAGGUAACGGCUCACCAAGGCGACGAUACAUAGCCGACCUGAGAGGGUGAUCGGCCACACUGGGACUGAGACACGGCCCAGACUCCUACGGGAGGCAGCAGUAGGGAAUCUUCGGCAAUGGACGGAAGUCUGACCGAGCAACGCCGCGUGAGUGAAGAAGGGUUUCGGAUCGUAAAGCUCUGUUGUAAGAGAAGAACGAGUGUGAGAGUGGAAAGUUCACACUGUGACGGUAGCUUACCAGAAAGGGACGGCUAACUACGUG
rnacentral:rRNA from 1 species